GCAGUCACUGCGGCACUGCACACACUAACAUUGCAGUAAUGUGGUGAAGAUUAGCGUGGCCCCUGCACAAGGAUUAUGUGCAAGAUGGUGAAAUGUUUCAUAAUUUU
rnacentral:snRNA from 1 species